rfam:Blautia sp. CAG:237 genomic scaffold, scf31
GUAAAUAAGCAGGGGAGCUUGUACUGGCAGGCUGAGAGGAAGUAAUUAACUUCGACCCUUAUACCUGAUUUGGAUAAUGCCAACGUAGGAAUGUGAACGUAUGUGGAUA